UGAGAUCGGCGCGUGCUUGCCAAUUCCUAUCAGAACAAGGUUAUGAGGUUAUCAAUGUACAGGGUGGCAUGUUAGCCUUUGAAGAACUUUAGACAUUAGAAUUUUCUCCUACUUGGCGUGGACUGGGUAGGGGAUUUUAUU
rnacentral:sRNA from 1 species